CAUGUCUAAGCGACCAGCGUCUGCAAAAGAUAGUUUACUGGCCAAGAAGGCUCAGUGUUUGAUUGACGACGACGUUUUAGAUCUAUCUCCAGAUAUUAAUAGCGAUUUGAGCGAAUUUUUACACAGCCUGCUAAAUACGGACGACCCUGAACCAGUAACAACUCUUAAUCCAGGUUUCUUCGAAGACCCUAAAGCGGUCCAUGUGAGAGAUAUUAGCAUACGUACACAGUUCGACGAGGAUUUGUGCGUACAUUUUGUACAUUUGGAGAAAAGGAUACUCGCAAAACGAACGGGUAUCGUAUUUGCCAAAACGCAAAUGAAAAUGACCGCACCUGAGAUGAGCGAAAUUUGCAAGGCACUCACUACCCUGAUUGAUGAGAUUAAACAUACCCCUUCAGGAAAACCACUCAAGCGAUUUGAAGGGAAUCCACUGGCAGAACCGAUUUGACAAGUUUUUUGACCCCAGUCUAUGCAUUUCACUCAGUGAAGGAAAACUGUUGGUUCGUCCAUUUCUUUCACCUAGGAGUGUCUGGAACCUAAAGGUAUUUCAACCCAUUGGUAACUUUCCACGGGGAAAGUUGUUAACUUUAGGUAUAGGCGAGGCGCUUGACCUGGUUUCUGUAAUGGAGAAUCUCAUACUCCAAAUUGAUUUGUUUGAAUGCGAAAGGAUCCUCGACUUGGAUGCUGUUGAAGUUUUAAAUUGAGUUUUGCAAUUUUUUGCAUUUUUAUUUUUUG